rnacentral:misc_RNA from 1 species
GAUGAAGAACUCAGCGAAAUGCGAUAAGUAAUGUGAAUUGCAAAAUUCAGUGAAUCAUCGAAUCUUUGAACGCACCUUGCGCUCCUUGGUAUUCCGAGGAGCAUGCCUGUUUGAGUGUCAUUAAUAUAUCAACCUCUUCAGCUUAUGCUUGUUGAGUGUUGGAUGGUGGGGGUUUGCUGGUGUCUUAUGAAGUCAGCUCCUCUGAAAUGCAUUAGCGGAACAAUUUGUUGACCGUUCAUUGGUGUGAUAAAAAUAUCUACGCUAUUGACGUCAGUCAGUUCAGCUUCUAACAGUCCAUUGACUUGGACAAAUUUUUCAUUAAUGUGACCUCAAAUCAGGUAGGACUACCCGCUGAACUUAAGCAUAUCAAUAACGGAGGA